rnacentral:rRNA from 2 species
UGAGGAAUAUUGGACAAUGGAUGGAAAUCUGAUCCAGCCAUGCCGCGUGAAGGUCACGGCCCUAUGGGUCUUAAACUUCUUUUGUAUGAGAGCAAUAAGUGUUACGCGUAACACGAUGAGAGUAUCAUACGAAUAAGCAUCGGCUAACUCCGUGCCAGCAGCCGCGGUAAUACGGAGGAUGCAAGCGUUAUCCGGAUUUAUUGGGUUUAAAGGGUGCGUAGGCUGUUGGGUAAGUCAGUGGUGAAAUGUUGCAGCUUAACUGCGAAGCUGCCAUUGAUACUGCCUAGCUGGAAUACGGUUGCCGUGGGAGGAAUGUGUAAUGUAGCGGUGAAAUGCAUAGAUAUUACACAGAACACCGAUUGCGAAGGCAUCUCACGAAGCCGCGAUUGACGCUGAGGCACGAAAGUGCGGGGAUCAAACAGG